rfam:Dipodomys ordii contig_27478, whole genome shotgun sequence.
UAAACCUAAGACUUCUCUGUGGCGAAAUUGGAACCACACAGAGAUUAGCACAGCCCCUGUACAAGGAUAACAUUCAAAUUUGUGAAGAGUUCCCAUUUUUA